CAGUAGCCACGGUAAUACAGAGGGUGCAAGCGUUAAUCGGAAUUACUGGGCGUAAAGCGCGCGUAGGUGGUUUGUUAAGUUGGAUGUGAAAUCCCCGGGCUCAACCUGGGAACUGCAUUCAAAACUGACUGACUAGAGUAUGGUAGAGGGUGGUGGAAUUUCCUGUGUAGCGGUGAAAUGCGUAGAUAUAGGAAGGAACACCAGUGGCGAAGGCGACCACCUGGACUAAUACUGACACUGAGGUGCGAAAGCGUGGGGAGCAAACAGGAUUAGAUACCCGAGUAGUCCCUGUCUCUUAUAC
rnacentral:rRNA from 1 species